rnacentral:rRNA from 1 species
CCUUAUAGUGGGGGAGUAGCCUUUCGAAAGGAAGAUUAAUACCGCAUAAGAUUGUAGUAUCGCAUGAUAUAGCAAUUAAAGGAGCAAUCCGCUAUAAGAUGGACCCGCGUCGCAUUAGCUAGUUGGUGAGGUGAUGGCUCACCAAGGCGACGAUGCGUAGCCGACCUGAGAGGGUGAUCGGCCACAUUGGGACUGAGACACGGCCCAGACUCCUACGGGAGGCAGCAUG